GUCCGUAAAGGUGGAUGAGUGGUGUUUGGUUUGUUACGUGUGGUUGGCUGCGGCGUUUGCAACAACUUCCAUGCUUUCAGACCUCUUCAUUUGUGCGGCAAGGCUUGUAUCGCCUUGAGCGUAUUGUGGGUUUGCUGUGUUGAAUACCUAAUCAAUGGUAUCGGUUGGAUUGAUCAAUGUUUCAUUUCGUCUGUCGUCGCACUCGCGGCGUGAGAUGAACCUUGAUGCGGUCUCUUUGAUCCACCUCAUUGAAGCACAUGCUUUGAUGUUGUGGCGCAUUGAGCAUUGCUUGGUCUCUUGCAUACAGAACAUGUAGUGGGCAUGAAUCUAACGAUUCUUGUUUGCCUUUAUAUUAGCGUAACGCUUCUCUUACACGACUUGCUCCACGUUUUAGCUCGUACGGACGUGGU
rnacentral:misc_RNA from 1 species